rnacentral:miRNA from 14 species
CAGUUAAAUUUGAGUUUUGGGUAAACAACAAAUUAUUUUUUUGUACAAGUAUGUCUCAAUGCAAUAUUUGAGACAUAUUUAUACUAAAAAAUUAUUCUUG